rnacentral:rRNA from 1 species
GCCUGCGGAGGGAUCAUUACCGAGUUUACAACUCCCAAACCCCUGUGAACAUACCUAUACGUUGCCUCGGCGGAUCAGCCCGCGCCCCGUAAAAAGGGACGGCCCGCCCGAGGACCCCUAAACUCUGUUUUUAGUGGAACUUCUGAGUAAAACAAACAAAUAAAUCAAAACUUUCAACAACGGAUCUCUUGGUUCUGGCAUCGAUGAAGAACGCAGCAAAAUGCGAUAAGUAAUGUGAAUUGCAGAAUUCAGUGAAUCAUCGAAUCUUUGAACGCACAUUGCGCCCGCCAGUAUUCUGGCGGGCAUGCCUGUUCGAGCGUCAUUUCAACCCUCAAGCUCAGCUUGGUGUUGGGACUCGCGGUAACCCGCGUUCCCCAAAUCGAUUGGCGGUCACGUCGAGCUUCCAUAGCGUAGUAAUCAUACACCUCGUUACUGGUAAUCGUCGCGGCCACGCCGUAAAACCCCAACUUCUGAAUGUUGACCUCGGAUCAGGUAGGAAUACCCGCUGAACUUAAGCAUAUCAAAA